CCUCCUUCCAGUAUGGUGAACCUGCGGAAGGAUCAU
rnacentral:rRNA from 1 species